AACAAGGCGUACCUGCGGACCUGCGGAGGGAUCAUUACCGAAGUACAGGCCCUCUUGUAGGGCUAAACUUCCACCCUUUGUUUACUAUUCUUUGUUGCUUUGGCGAGACGUCCUCGGACCACCGGCUCUCGGGCUGGUGCGCGCUCGCCAGAGGAAAAUCAAACCCAAACCACUUUUAGUGUCGUCUGAUAAACAAGUUUAAUUAUUAAAACUUUUAGCAACGGAUCUCAGAUCGGAAGA
rnacentral:misc_RNA from 1 species